UGCCAGCAGCCGCGGUAAUACGGAGGGUGCGAGCGUUAAUCGGAAUUACUGGGCGUAAAGCGCACGUAGGCGGAUUGGAAAGUUGGGGGUGAAAUCCCGGGGCUCAACCCCGGAACUGCCUCCAAAACUAUCAGUCUAGAGUUCGAGAGAGGUGAGUGGAACUCCGAGUGUAGAGGUGAAAUUCGUAGAUAUUCGGAAGAACACCAGUGGCGAAGGCGGCUCACUGGCUCGAUACUGACGCUGAGGUGCGAAAGUGUGGGGAGCAAACAGGAUUAGAUA
rnacentral:rRNA from 1 species